rnacentral:rRNA from 1 species
UACGGAGGGUGCAAGCGUUAUCCGGAUUCACUGGGUUUAAAGGGUGCGUAGGUGGGUCUGUAAGUCAGUGGUGAAAUCUUCGAGCUUAACUCGGAAACUGCCAUUGAUACUAUAGAUCUUGAAUUUUCUGGAGGUAAGCGGAAUAUGUCAUGUAGCGGUGAAAUGCUUAGAUAUGACAUAGAACACCAAUUGCGAAGGCAGCUUACUACGGGAACAUUGACACUGAGGCACGAAAGCGUGGGGGAUCAAACAGG